rnacentral:rRNA from 1 species
UGGGGAAUAUUGCGCAAUGGGGGAAACCCUGACGCAGCGACGCCGCGUGCGGGAUGAAGGCCUUCGGGUUGUAAACCGCUUUUGAUUGGGAGCAAGCUUUCGGGUGAGUGUACCUUUCGAAUAAGCGCCGGCUAACUACGUGCCAGCAGCCGCGGUAAUACGUAGGGCGCAAGCGUUAUCCGGAAUUAUUGGGCGUAAAGCGAGCGCAGGCGGUCAAUUAAGUCUGAUGUGAAAGCCCCCGGCUCAACCGGGGAGGGUCAUUGGAAACUGGUUGACUUGAGUGCAGAAGAGGAGAUGGGAAUUCCAUGUGUAGCGGUGAAAUGCGAAGAUAUAUGGAGGAACACCAGUGGCGAAGGCGACUCUCUGGUCUGUAACUGACGCUGAGGUUCGAAAGCGUGGGUAGCAAACAGG